AAGUCGUAACAAGGUUUCCGUAGGUGAACCUGCGGAAGGAUCAUUACCUAGAGUUGCGGGCUUUGCCUGCCAUCUCUUACCCAUGUCUUUGAGUACCUUCGUUUCCUCGGUGGGUUCGCCCGCCGACUGGACAAAACUUAACCCUUUGUAAUUGAAAUCAGCGUCUGAAAAACUUAAUAGUUACAA
rnacentral:misc_RNA from 1 species